GGGGUCGCGUCCUAUCAGCUUGACGGCGGGGUAACGGCCCACCGUGGCUUCGACGGGUAGCCGGCCUGAGAGGGCGACCGGCCACAUUGGGACUGAGAUACGGCCCAGACUCCUACGGGAGGCAGCAGUGGGGAAUAUUGCACAAUGGGCGCAAGCCUGAUGCAGCGACGCCGCGUGAGGGAUGGAGGCCUUCGGGUUGUACACCUCUUUUAUCGGGGAGCAAGCGAGAGUGAGUUUACCCGUUGAAUAAGCACCGGCUAACUACGUGCCAGCAGCCGCGGUAAUACGUAGGGUGCAAGCGUUAUCCGGAAUUAUUGGGCGUAAAGGGCUCGUAGGCGGUUCGUCGCGUCCGGUGUGAAAGUCCAUCGCUUAACGGUGGAUCCGCGCCGGGUACGGGCGGG
rnacentral:rRNA from 1 species